rnacentral:lncRNA from 1 species
CCCACACUGCAUUGUGACCUGCCCACCUUACUCCACCCAGAGGAAGGAGGAUGCAGUCCUAUUGGACAGCUGGGCAGGGGAGCAGGUGAUAUAGUCAGGCUUGGGGAGAGAGGGAAAGGAGUAGCCUAGCUGCAGCUCCCUCCUGCUUUCCAGUUAGGAACUGUGAUAAACUGUGCUGCAAGAUUGGGGGCACUGGAUCCUUGGCAUGUAUGCCCACUGAGAGAUCUCUGCAUGCCAUCUCUGGCACACAUGCCAUAGACUUGCAUCACAGGCGUAGUGCUUGCCUUCCUUCUGUUUUAGAAAUGAUGGCUCCCCCGGCAGGGCAUACCAAAUCGCCAUGAUGCCAGUCCCCUGAGAAACAACGUGGUCUCUCUCAGACAGCUAAAGAAAUCCUUCAAGCAAGAUCUGAAAGUGACAGACAUCCCAAGUUCAAUGAGAAAAAGAACCACCUCAUAUAUCAAGAAAAGAAAAACAGAAAACAAAGAAAAACAAGUUAUUAAUUGGUGUAAAAUAAAAUGAAAGGCUUAAGGUAGAUGGUCUCUAAG